AGAGUUUGAUCCUGGCUCAGGACGAACGCUGGCGGCGUGCCUAACACAUGCAAGUCGAACGAAGCUUGAUUUCUGAUUUUUUCGGAAUGACGAAUGAUAUGACUGAGUGGCGGACGGGUGAGUAACGCGUGAGCAACCUGCCCUUCGGAACGGGAUAGUGUCUGGAAACGGACAGUAAUACCGUAUAAUAUAUAUUGAUCGCAUGGUUGAUAUAUCAAAACUGAGGUGCCGAAGGAUGGGCUCGCGUCUGAUUAGAUAGUUGGUGGGGUAACGGCCUACCAAGUCGACGAUCAGUAGCCGGACUGAGAGGUUGAACGGCCACAUUGGGACUGAGACACGGCCCAGACUCCUACGGGAGGCAGCAGUGGGGAAUAUUGCACAAUGGGGGAAACCCUGAUGCAGCAACGCCGCGUGAAGGAAGACGGUUUUCGGAUUGUAAACUUCUGUUCUUAGUGAAGAAUAAUGACGGUAGCUAAGGAGCAAGCCACGGCUAACUACGUGCCAGCAGCCGCGGUAAUACGUAGGUGGCAAGCGUUGUCCGGAAUUACUGGGUGUAAAGGGAGCGUAGGCGGGAUGCCAAGUCAGCUGUGAAAACUAUGGGCUUAACUUGUAGACUGCAGUUGAAACUGGUAUUCUUGAGUGAAGUAGAGGUUGGCGGAAUUCCGAGUGUAGCGGUGAAAUGCGUAGAUAUUCGGAGGAACACCGGUGGCGAAGGCGGCCAACUGGGCUUUAACUGACGCUGAGGCUCGAAAGUGUGGGGAGCAAACAGGAUUAGAUACCCUGGUAGUCCACACUGUAAACGAUGAUAACUAGGUGUGGGGGGUCUGACCCCUUCCGUGCCGCAGCUAACGCAAUAAGUUAUCCACCUGGGGAGUACGACCGCAAGGUUGAAACUCAAAG
rnacentral:rRNA from 1 species